UAGGGAAUCUUCCACAAUGGACGCAAGUCUGAUGGAGCAACGCCGCGUGAGUGAAGAAGGUUUUCGGACCGUAAAGCUCUGUUGUUGGUGAAGAAGGAUAGAGGUAGUAACUGGCCUUUAUUUGACGGUAAUCAACCAGAAAGUCACGGCUAACUACGUGCCAGCAGCCGCGGUAAUACGUAGGUGGCAAGCGUUGUCCGGAUUUAUUGGGCGUAAAGCGAGCGCAGGCGGAAGAAUAAGUCUGAUGUGAAAGCCCUCGGCUUAACCGAGGAAUUGCAUCGGAAACUGUUUUCUUGAGUGCAGAAGAGGAGAGUAGAACUCCAUGUGUAGCGGUGGAAUGCGUAGAUAUAUGGAAGAAUACCAGUGGCGAAGGCGGCUCUCUGGUCUGCAACUGACGCUGAGGCUCGAAAGCAUGGGUAGCGAACAGGAUUAGAUACCUUUGGUAGUCCAUGCCGUAAACGAUGAGUGCUAAGUGUUGGGAGGCUUCCGCCUCUCAGUGCUGCAGCUAACGCAUUAAGCACUCCGCCUGGGGAGUACGACCGCAAGGUUGAAAC
rnacentral:rRNA from 1 species